GAUGAACGCUGGCGGCGUGCUUAACACAUGCAAGUCGAACGGGAUCCAAGGGGUGCUUGCACUUUUUGGUGAGAGUGGCGAACGGGUGAGUAACACGUGAGUAACCUGUCCUUUUCUUUGGGAUAAGCAUUCGAAAGGGUGUUUAAUACCUUAUGUUCUGUCUGCCUCGCAUGGGGUGGGUGGGAAAGGCUUUGGCCGGAUUUGGGUGGGCUCGCGGUCUAUCAGCUUGUUGGUGGGGUGAUGGCUUACCAAGGCUUUGACGGGUAGCCGGCCUGAGAGGGGUGGUGGUUACAUGUGGGACUGGGAACCGCCCCGGACUCCGGGGGGGGGCAGCGGGGGGGGUUAUGGAAAAGGGGCGAAAAGCCUGAGGCGGGGCGCCGGGGGGGGGGUGAAGGCCUUUGGGUUUUAAAAUUUUUUUGCUUUGAAACAGGGAAGGCCGGGGGGUUUUUGGGGGGGGGGGUUGAAUAGGCGCCGCCACCCUCCG
rnacentral:rRNA from 1 species